AAGUUCUGUCUGGGCAGUGGGAUUGGGGUCUUCCUCCUGAAGGGUACUGUGGGGUCUUCAGCGCCUUAUCUCACCAACAGCUUGGCUGAGUGUGCCCAGAUCUGUGCACUGUGGUAAGGCUAACCUUUACACCUCUAGAUAGUUCCUGGAUGCAAACCUUGAGAAAUCAACUUGGAGAACGAGCUAAGUUUCCGUUGUCCAGAGCUCAGGUGCUGGGACAGGUGGCACCCAGAUCUUCCAGCCAUAUGUGGAGUCGCUGGUGGAGUCUUAUCUCUCUCUCCAGAGUGUGUCCCUGCAGUGGAGGCUGGCCUUUCAUCUCAGCACCAGGGUGCCCAGGGCCCAGUUGAUCCAGGAAGUUUGUUGAAUGAAUGAGUGAUUGGCACAUUCUGGGCAGGAGACUGUCUGGCCCAGAAGAAUGCCUGGUUUCCCUCAGGGCAGGGCACUCCCCUGUGCAGACAGGCGGGCAUGGAGCAGAAACAGCCAGGGUGGACGAGCUUUUCAGCAGCAUGAAGGCAACAGCCGAUUUGUUCACAGUCGAGAGUGAAGGAAUGAAUUUACGAGAACCUGCAUGAACUAUGUGAUCAUAGUGUUGGUGGUCAGACUGUGAGGCACAGGAAGAUGGAUCAGAGGGUCAAAGGGGCACCAUCUACAGCUCAUUUCCCCGUCCUCCAACCAAUGGGCCUGCCCCAGACCUGCUCCCCUGUCCCUGGGGAGGAGGAGGAUAUUCCAGACUCACGGACCUGAACCUCUCUGGGCAUAUGUCCAGUCUCUGUCCUGCAGAGAUGCCUUGGGCCUCCCAUUUCAACAGCAUCCUUCCCCUGAUGUGGGAAAGAAUUUCCUAAUCGCCCUCACCUCUGGCUUCAGGUCCAUGCAACACAAGCCCUGUUUCGGGCCUCCUGUGUUCAGGCUCCUGAGCACGGCUUCCCUUUUUGAAACCAGGGAGGCUGGUGUUGCCUGCAGAAGCAUCUUGUGAGUUGUGGGAGGGGCCACAUGGAAGGCCAGACAUGGGAGUGAAGUGUGAAGCACCAGCCUUCCUGACUUCCAGACCCAGGUCAGCCUCCCGCCUCUCCUCCUGCUGAAUCUUUCUGAUCCUGCGGUUUCUCCUCUCUGAAACGGGGAUGCUGAUGGUUCCAUAAUCAAAGUCCUGUGCUGAUUCAUUGCAAUGAUGACUGUUUAGCCCCAGCUGCAGGAAAAAAAACCGAACAGAACAAAACUAGACCGGGUAUGGUAGCUCACGCCUGUUAAGUCCAGCACUUUGGGAGGCUGAGGCAGGAGGAUCACUUGAGGCCAGGAGUUUGGGACCAGCCCGGGCAACAUAGCAAGACCCCUAUCUCUACAAACAACAACAAUAGCAGCAGCAAAAUCCCACUAAAAUAAUAAAAUGCUCACUGUAAGCAGAGAGUACUUCUCUGCCCUACUGACUUGCUCCUCCUACUGAGCAGGCCACGUGACUUGCUCCAACGAAUGGAAUGUGUGCAGAUAUGUAUGUCACAUCCAGCCAGAGGCUUUCAAUAUGAUUGAACCUGGACUCUUGCCCUCUUGCCUUGCACUUGGAGAAGAAUGUGCUCCAGGAUGCUUCAGUAGAAAGUGGAAAUGCUGUCUCCCGAAUUUGCUGAACGAUGAUGUUCUGAGGAGACCUGCACUUGAGAACAAAAGUGACUACUCUUUUGUCCUAAUCUUAAAUCCCAUCACCUUGGCUGCAACUGCUGAGUGCUGGUAAUGAGUGUUGAGAGGCAAUCCGAGGAUGGUGAUUAGGUAUUAAGCCUGGGCAGGUAUUAACCGAGAGGUGUGUGGACCUUUCGCUCAGCACCACAAGAGCAGAUCUCUGCCAGCAAGCUUAUCUGGCCAUCAGCCAGGGACAGAGCUGCACUGUGGCAAAGUGAAAUGUGAUUUUAAUGAUUCUGAGCACAUGGUUUCUGCCUCCAGCAUGCUAGAUUUGUAGACUGGCAUUUUUUUUCCCUUGGGUAGAUUCCAGAUGUUGUAUAACUUGUGCCUUUCUAAGUUACAGCAUGGUAGAUGGGGACUUGUCUUUGUUAUGAGCAUGUACAAUGUGGGUCGCAGUUAAGCACUGUCAAAUAGCCUCCUAAAAGAUGAGUUUGUGU
ensembl:lncRNA VSTM2B-DT VSTM2B divergent transcript